GACGAACGCUGGCGGCGUGCUUAACACAUGCAAGUCGAACGAAGUGGCGAACGGGUGAGUAACGCGUAAUCAACCUGCCCUUCAGAGGGGGACAACAGUUGGAAACGACUGCUAAUACCGCAUACUGAAGGAGGGGAUUGCGUCUGAUUAGCUAGUUGGGGGGGUAACGGCCCACCAAGGCGAUGAUCAGUAGCCGGUCUGGGAGGGUGAAGGGCCACAUUGGGACUGGGACACGGCCCAGACUCCUACGGGAGGCAGCAGGGGGGAAGCUUCCGAAAUGGAGGAAAGUCUGACGGAGCACCGCCGCGUGAGGGAUGACGGCCUUCGGGUUGUAAAGCUCUUUUAAUCGGGACGCGGUACCGGAAUAGAAAGCCACGGCGAACUACGUGCCAGCAGCCGCGGUAAUUC
rnacentral:rRNA from 1 species